rnacentral:lncRNA from 1 species
CCCCCCCCCCUUUCAUUAAUACUCUCCAGCUUCUAACAUAAACACAACCUCAUUAUUGCACGCUAUUCUAACCACAUACCACCAAUAUCGCCCCCAUUAGUGGUGGCAAAAUGGGUGGGUUGGACACGUUUGGGUAAUGGGUUAGGAUGGGUAUGGGUUAGGAUGAGUUUGGGUUUGGAUGAGUUUAUUAAGAAAUGGGUUAGGAUGAGUUUAGGUCAAGAUGUGUUUUUGUCAAUUUGGAUUUGGAAUUGAACCUUUGUAACAUUUACAGAAUCAAAUCACCUAGACACCUAAUCUGAUAAAAUAACAUUCAUUAAAAAGUAAACAAAUACUUUAAAUUCUAAUAAGCUUAAAUUUCCGUACGUCUCAAUGCACAAUAUUAACCAGAAAAAUUAAUUUUCCUACUUAAUAAAUCAAAUAACCCCAGAAUUUUAACCUUUGUAACAUUUACAGAAUCAAAUCAUCUGAUAAAACAACAUCCAUCUCAUAAUCCACAUAAAAUUAAACAAAUAAACA